rnacentral:misc_RNA from 1 species
GCGAGGCACGUUCAUACGGGGUAGCAUAUUCCAUAACUAGCGACAAGACUCAGUUCAUAAUGGUGAAUCUUGGAGAUACUUUCCCAAACUUUGAGGCUGACACAACAAUUGGAAAGAUUAAAUUCCAUGACUUUAUUGGGGACAGUUGGUGCAUCCUGUUUUCCCACCCCGCGGAUUACACCCCUGUCUGCACGACCGAGCUGGGGAAAUGCGUGGAGCUGGAGCCAGAGUUCAAGAAGAGGGGGGUUAAGAUGAUCGCCCUGUCCUGUGAUGACGUCCCCAGUCAUGAGGGGUGGUCAAAGGACAUCAUAGAAUACGUCAAGUGCUCGUCAGACAAACUCCCAUACCCCAUCAUUUCCGACAAAAGCCGAGAUUUGGCCGUGAAACUGGGCAUGGUUGAUCCAGCCGAAAAGGACAAUGCAGGCCUUCCACUUACAUGUCGUGCAGUAAGUAUAUAUGUCGUUCUACAAGCGCAUUUAAGUCGUGCAAUAAGUGCAUAUGUCGUGUAAUAACUUAAUACAUCGUGCAGUAAGUGAAUAUUAUCUGCAGUAUUAAGUUCACAUGUGUUGGAUACUCCGGAAAUUACUUUUAUAUAUUAGUCUACAUGUAUAUGAUUACGGACACUGAUGAAUAGGGUUCUUUGAAUCCGCCUCUGAACUUUUUCCUAUAAUGUCACAUACAUCGUAAGGUGAAUGGCUCGAUAUGAAGAACAAUGUCUUUAUCAUAAACAUGUUAUCAUGUAAACGUAUAGUACCAUGUACGUGUGUCAUUCAAAAUACCAUUAUAAGUACUAAGUACACUGUGUAUGCCGUUCAGUCCUUUAUAUAAGAUAUUUGAAUUUAAUUUUUCCUAUAUUAAAAUGUCGUAUGACCCUAUUUGAAACAAAAUCUUGCAAUUGGAUGGCGUGUAAUUGCAGUAGCAAUUUCUCGGAAAAGCCCAAAAAUUUUCGAUAGAAAUAUCUGAUAAUCUUACUCUUACUUUGUAGUCUCCUUAGCAUUUUAGUUUCUAGCACUUGUCCCAAAAAAAAUCGAAAAUAAAAUCACGUGUUGUGCAUAGAAAUGUUUGUAAAUAUAAUGAUUAAAUUAUAUGAAUUUAAAAAAAAAUACCCCACACAUAUAUGAAUUGUAAACUGAAUUUGAAUUGCAGGUAUUCAUCAUUGGCCCCGACAAGAAACUGAAACUGUCAAUGCUUUACCCAGCAACCACUGGCCGAAAUUUCGCGUAAGUUGUGAAGACAUUUGGAGUUGAAAAUCCAUGAAUUAAAAUUUAUUCAUAUUACAAGGAACAUUUUAAACUUUAUUUCUAGUUGUCCAACGUUUUUUUUUUCUAUACAGGAAUUUGUAAGGUCAUGCUUUAAUUAAGUACACAAUGUCAAAUGCUUUCAGUGAAAUUUUGAGAGUCAUCGAUUCCCUCCAGCUGACAAUGAACAAAAAAGUCGCAACACCCGAGGGAUGGCAGGUUUGUGUGCUGCAUACAUUUUUAACUUGUCUUGGUAAAUGUAAUUGAAGUUUAUAGUUUAUUUAAUGAAAAUCGUCUCUAAAUUUCAGCAAGGAGGCAAGUGUAUGGUCUUACCCUCCAUCCCCCAAGAGGGCAUAGAAAAAGUGUUCCCUAAGGGUGUCACCGUCCAGCCCGUACCCUCAGGCAAGGCUUACUUGAGGUUCACCCCACAGCCAGAGUAAAUAGAUUUGGCUUCCAUGAAGACCGUUCUGGAAAACAGAAAAAUAAUUCGUGUAUUUGGACAUUAUACCAUGUACGCAGUACUGUAACAACGCGAUGCUUUCAACUGUAUUGUUCAAAUCAUGUAUUUUUGUUAUGAAUGGAAACAAUUUUUUUUUCAUUAAAUUUCAUAU